rnacentral:lncRNA from 1 species
GACAGCAUAGUAAGUAGAAAAUGGAAAUGAGAUUUUACUAAACCCUUCUCCUUCCUCACUUCGAAGGCCUUCUGGGAAAGACAGCAAAGUUGAGCUCAUAUAAACCAAAAGCUCUGGCCCCAGCUCUACCUGCAUGGUGGGGGGAAUGGCCCAUUCUUCCUUACUUCUGACAACUGGCUCUUCAAAUACACUUCAAAUACCUGGGAACCUAUUCAUAUCCAUCCUCUGAAUGGGAAGAAAAUUGCUUCUCCUUGGCAAACAGCUUUGGCCUGGGCAAAACUUUCCACUUUUUUCAUUUUUGUGGUCACUGUUCUCUUCUAUAUCCUUUUAUGUAUUAGUCCAUAAGCACUAAGUUUUGAAAGCACUAAGACAUUCUAGAGUCCUUGAUUGUUCACCCAUACUUCCAUUUCUUUAUUCAAUAAACAUGUAUUAAGUUCCUAUUAUGUCAGAUGUGCAAAUUCUUAUGGUAAUAAAAAGAUGUAUGAGACAUAGACACUUUAUUUAGUCAAACACUCAACAAUAUUUGAACAUCUACUGUGUACAAGGUGCUAAGGAUCAAUAAAGGAGUAGUGCAGUUUAAGACAACACAACAAAAACAAACUCUUCACUCCACUGGCUGUAACACAUUUCUACUCUGAGAUCUUCAUGGCACAACUUCUUGAACAAGUGUUGUUUUCAAUAGUCACUCUCUUCACAUUUUUCUUCUAUUCCUCAACAUACAGAAGAAACGUGUGUUGGACUUUCCAGUUGAACUUUCAACCCAACUAUUUGUGGAAAUUGCUAUUACCAAAUUACUUAUGAUGUUGCCAAAACAAAUGAUCAAUUCUCUUCCUGUUACAUUUCAUGCAUCAGAAGCAUCCAACAUAGUGGACCACAUUCUUUUUGAAAUACUUUCUUCACUUGACUUUUACAACGCCAUCCGCUCCUAAUUUUCCUCCUGCCGGCCACCGACUCCUACUCAGUAUCUUUAGCUGGCCCCUCCUCCUCUGUUCAACCUCUAAAUGUCGAUAUGUCUAUUCCAGGAUUCAGUCUAGAAACUUUUCCUUUUAUCCUUGAAUAUUCUUACCCUAGCUUAUUUCAUCUAGUCCUGGGCUUUUAAAAAUCACUUUACGCUACUCAUGUCCAAGUUGAUCUCUCUAGGACUAUAGCACAAGGGGUAUAAUUAUUCUAAAGUAACCCAGAAGUUUAAUAAGCUGGCCAAGAAGAGGGAUUUUCUUUUUCCCAGCAUGAGGGACUCUACCUAGUAUAUGUCUCUAUAGAAUGGGUGGCUUUCUCUCCUAAGAAAAGGAAAACCCUUUGCACGAGCCCCAAAAACUCUAGGUUCUGGGCAGUUGAUUUUCCCAGAUAAUGUUGUGAACAGCUGGCACCUAAAUCUAGACUGUUUCACACCAAAAGCCUGUGUGUUCCUCCAUUGAUAAAGCUGUGUCCUCAUGCUAACAUGAUAAAAAAUUAUAGUAAGGGAAACUAGUCUUCCUACACUGAAACACAGACUCAUAUUGUGAGCCCAGUAAUUUCCUGACCAUUUAUGCAUCAGUGUAAGACAGGAGGAUGGGGAAAUCAUGCAAUCUAUUCUUUUGCUGAUUAGUAAUCUUUGUGAGUUUUCCUAAUACAGCAUUUUUUUUUUUUUGGCUGAACGCAGAAGAAUUUAUUGAUGGUACACAACAAGGUGGGGCUCCCUAGGCCUCUCCCUCUUCAGAGGGUCUGCAUGGAAACUGUGAGGAGGGGAGAUUCUCAUUGUGGUGGGGCACUGAGUGUGGCAGGGACUCCCCAGAAGCUGAGGGCCUCUGUUUUCCUCUCAUGCUCUCGCUGGGGCUGGUGGUCCAGGGAUCUUACUCUUUGAAGGCCCUGUGGGCAAUGAGGUCGAUCACCCUUUUGCUAUAGCCAAAUUCAUUGUCAUACCAGAAAAUGAGCUUGAGAAAGUGGUCAUUGAGGGCAAUGCCAGUCCCAGGAUCAAAGGUGGAAGAGUGGGUGUCGCAGUUAAAGUCAGAGGAGACAAGCUGGUUCUCAGUGCAGCCCAAGAUGCCCUCGAAGGGGAACUCCGAUGCUGCUUCAACACUUUCUUGAUGUCAUCAUUUUUGGCAGGAUUUACAUAGGCAAGUCAGGUCCACAAAUAACAUGUUGGCAGUGAGGACAUGAAACGUCAUGCCAGUAAGCCUCCUGUUCAACUCAGGGAUGACAUUUCCCAUAGCCUUGACAGUGCCAGGAGAUGCAGGAAUGGCAUUAUGGAGAGCCCCGCGACUCUCAUGGCAUAGUUUCCUGGAGGGGCUAUCCACAGUCUUCUGGGUGGCAGCGAUGUGUGGACUGUCGCCAUAAGUCCUUCCAUGACACCAAAGUUGUCAUGGAUGAACUUGGCCAGGGGUGCUAAGCAGUUAGUGGUGCAGGUGACAUUGCUGAUGAUCUUGAGGUUGUUGUCAUACUUCUCAUGGUUCAUGCGCGUCUCAGAUAUGGGGGCGUCAGCAGAGGGGCAGAGAUAAUGACCCUUUUGGAUCCCUCCUGCAAGCGAGCCCCAGCCUUCUCUAUGGUGGUGAAGAUGUCGGUGGACUCUAUGAUGUACUCAAGGCCAGCAUCACCCUAUUUGAUUUUGGUGGGAUCUAGCUUUUGGAAAAUGGUGGUUAAAUUUGUAUUCAUGACAAGCUUCCCGUUUUCAGCUUUGACGGUGUCAUGGAAUUUGCCAUGGAUGGAAUCAUACUGGAACAUGUAGACCACGUAGUCGAGGUCAAUGAUGGGGUCAUUGAUGGCAACAGUAUCCACUUUAACAGAGUUAAAAGCAGCCCUGGAGGCCAGGCACCCAAUAUAGCCAAACCAAUUGACUCCAGGCUUCACCUUCACUGUGGUGCCUUGGGAAUGCCACUGGCGCUGCACAAGAAAAUGUGGCUGUCUGUCGAACGGGAGAAGCAGAAAUCUACAGCAUAUUAUUUAACCCAUAAUUAUCAUAUUGAGAAAUUCUUUGCGAAAUCUGGUACCAAUAGGUGGUGACUCAGAUGGGCAUCACUUGACAUAGCAUGCUGACCUUCCCCGAGCAUCAUGUGGACAAUUCAGUUGUCUCAGUAUUACUUGUUUAAAAGACUAUCCUUUUGCUCCAAUGAAUUACUUUUGUGAAAAUCAAUUGACCCUAUGAUUUUGGCCGUUAACUAACACAUAAGCAAUAAUUUCCUCAAAAUGGAUUAUAGGCCUAAAUUUAAAGGCCAAAUUAUACACCUCUUAGGAGAAAACAUAGAUUAACAUACUCAUGAACUUGAGUUCGACAAAAUCCCGAUGUUUCCUGGUAGAAGAAAAAAGUUGAAAUAUUGAGUCAUGAUCAAAACUAAAACUGUUUGCAUUUUAAAAGACAUCAAUAAGAUAAUGGAAAUAUAAUCCAGAGACUGAGAAAAAAAUUUCAAGUCAUACAUUUGAUAAAAGAUUUGUAUCCAAAAUAUAAAAUACACUGACAACUAAAUAGCAAAAAGAUAAAUAAGCCAAUUUUAAGUUGGGCAAAAUAUUUGAAUAGCCAUUGCACCAAAAGGUGUAGGAAUAGCUAAUAAAGCACAUGAAAAGAUGGUCAGUAUCAUCAGUCAGCAGGGAAAUGCAAAUCAAAACUACAAUGACACACCACUUCUUACCCACUAGAAUGCUAUGAUAAAAAUGAAGGACAAUAACAAUUGAGGAAGUGAAAUAACAAUGAUGUGGAAAAAUUGAAAUACUCAUGCAUUGUUGAUGGGACAUGCAGCCAUGUUGGAAAGCAGUUUGGCAGUUUCUUAAAACGUUGAAGAUACAUUUACCAUAUUACCUAGCACUUUCAUUCCUUGUUGUCUACUCCAAAGGAAAAAAACCUAUGUCCACACAACACAUGAAUGUGAAUAUUAGUAGCAGCUUUAUCCAUAAUAGUCCAUAAAGUAGAAACACAUCAAAUAUCUAUCAGCUGAUGAAACAAUAAACAAAUGGGAGUGAUCCAUACAAUUUAAUAGAAUUUAGCACCUAAAAAAAUAAAAUAUUGAUACGUGCUACAACACAGGUGAACCACAAAAGCACAUUAAUCUAAGUGAAAGAAGACAGAUACAAAAAACCACAUGUUGUAUGACUCUAUUUUUAUGAUAUCCAGAAAAGACAAAUCUGUAGUGUCAGUAAGUCAAUUAGGGGUUGUCUGGAGCUGGGGAGUGGGAAUAAGGGGUGGUAUUGAUGAGCAUGAGGGAUUUCUUAGGAAUUAUAGAAAUGUUCCAAAACAAGAUUGUGAUGAUGGUCAAACAAGUCUAAAAUUUUACUAAAAAUAAUUAAACUGUACACUUAAAAUAGGUGAAUGUUAUGAUAUGUCAAUUAUACCUCAGUAAAGCUGUUU